AUUGAACGCUGGCGGCAGGCUUAACACAUGCAAGUCGAGCGGAGUGAUGGUGCUUGCACUAUCACUUAGCGGCGGACGGGUGAGUAAUGCUUAGGAAUCUGCCAUUUAGUGGGGGACAACAUUCCGAAAGGAAUGCUAAUACCGCAUACGUCCUACGGGAGAAAGCAGGGGAUCUUCGGACCUUGCGCUAAAUGAUGAGCCUAAGUCGGCUGAGCUAGUUGGUGGGGUAAAGGCCUACCAAGGCGACGAUCUGUAGCGGGUCUGAGAGGAUGAUCCGCCACACUGAGACUGAGACACGGCCCAGACUGCUACGGUAGGCAGCAGUGGGGAAGAUUGGACAAUGGGCGGAAGCAUGAUCCAGCCAUGCCGGGUGUGUGAAGAAGGCCUUUUGGUUGUAAAGCACUCUAAGCGAGGAGGAGGCUACUAGUACUAAUACUACUGGAUAGUGGACGUUGCUCGCAGAAUAAGCGCCGGCUAACUCUGUGCCAGCAGCCGCCGCCGUAA
rnacentral:rRNA from 1 species